AGUGGCGGACGGGUGAGUAACACGUGGGAACGUGCCUUUAGGUUCGGAAUAAGCCCGGGAAACUGGGUCUAAUACCGGAUGUGCCCUUCGGGGGAAAGAUUUAUCGCCUUUAGAGCGGCCCGCGUCUGAUUAGCUAGUUGGUGGUGUAAUGGACCACCAAGGCGACGAUCAGUAGCUGGUCUGAGAGGAUGAUCAGCCACAUUGGGACUGAGACACGGCCCAAACUCCUACGGGAGGCAGCAGUGGGGAAUCUUGCGCAAUGGGCGAAAGCCUGACGCAGCCAUGCCGCGUGAAUGAUGAAGGUCUUAGGAUUGUAAAAUUCUUUCACCGGGGACGAUAAUGACGGUACCCGGAGAAGAAGCCCCGACUAACUUCGUGCCAGCAGCCGCGGUAAUACGAAGGGGGCUAGCGUUGCUCGGAAUUACUGGGCGUAAAGGGAGCGUAGGCGGACAUUUAAGUCAGGGGUGAAAUCCCGGGGCUCAACCUCGGAACUGCCUUUGAUACUGGAUGUCUUGAGUGCGGGAGAGGUGUGUGGAACUCCGAGUGUAGAGGUGAAAUUCGUAGAUAUUCGGAAGAACACCAGUGGCGAAGGCGACACACUGGCCCGUUACUGACGCUGAGGCGCGAAAGCGUGGGGAGCAAACAGGAUUAGAUACCCUGGUAGUCCACGCCGUAAACGAUGAUUGCUAGUUGUCGGAG
rnacentral:rRNA from 1 species